UACAGAGGGGGCAAGCGUUGUUCGGAAUUACUGGGCGUAAAGGGCGCGUAGGCGGCCUGCUAAGUCGAACGUGAAACCCCUGGGCUCAACCCAGGAACUGCGUCCGAUACUGGUUGGCUUGAAUCCGGGAGAGGGAUGUGGAAUUCCAGGUGUAGCGGUGAAAUGCGUAGAUAUCUGGAGGAACACCGGUGGCGAAGGCGACAUCCUGGACCGGCAUUGACGCUGAGGCGCGAAAGCCAGGGGAGCAAACGGG
rnacentral:rRNA from 1 species